UGAACGCUGGCGGCAUGCCUUACACAUGCAAGUCGAACGGUAACGGGCCUUCGGGUGCCGACGAGUGGCGAACGGGUGAGUAAUACAUCGGAACGUGCCCGAUCGUGGGGGAUAACGAGGCGAAAGCUUUGCUAAUACCGCAUACGAUCUACGGAUGAAAGCAGGGGACCGCAAGGCCUUGCGCGGACGGAGCGGCCGAUGGCAGAUUAGGUAGUUGGUGGGAUAAAAGCUUACCAAGCCGACGAUCUGUAGCUGGUCUGAGAGGAUGAUCAGCCACACUGGGACUGAGACAUGGCCCAGACUCCUACGGGAGGCAGCAGUGGGGAAUUUUGGACAAUGGGCGCAAGCCUGAUCCAGCCAUGCCGCGUGCAGGAUGAAGGCCUUCGGGUUGUAAACUGCUUUUGUACGGAACGAAAAGCCUUCUUUUAAUACAGGAGGGUCAUGACGGUACCGUAAGAAUAAGCACCGGCUAACUACGUG
rnacentral:rRNA from 1 species